UACGUAGGCAGCGAGCGUUGUUCGGAAUUACUGGGCGUAAAGAGUGUGUAGGCGGUGCUCUAAGUUCGGUGUGAAAUCUCCUGCUUAACUGGGAGGGUGCGCCGGAAACUGGAGUGCUCGAGCGUGGGAGAGGAAAGCGGAAUUCCUGGUGUAGCGGUGAAAUGCGUAGAUAUCAGGAGGAACACCUGUGGUGUAGACGGCUUUCUGGACCAUAGCUGACGCUGAGGCGCGAAAGCUAGGGGAGCAAACAGG
rnacentral:rRNA from 1 species